CUAGGAAUGCCAGAUUUAAUGGGUGGAUUUUAGGUGUCUGAUAUAUUAUUAUAUAUAAUUUUCUAGU
rnacentral:tRNA from 1 species